rnacentral:rRNA from 1 species
UACGGGGGGGGCAAGCGUUGUUCGGAAUUACUGGGCGUAAAGGGCUCGCAGGCGGCCAACUAAGUCGGACGUGAAAUCCCUCGGCUUAACCGGGGAACUGCAUCCGAUACUGGAGGGCUUGAGUUUGGGAGAGGGAUGCGGAAUUCCAGGUGUAGCGGUGAAAUGCGUAGAUAUCUGGAGGAACACCGGUGGCGAAGGCGGCAUCCUGGACCAACACUGACGCUGAGGAGCGAAAGCCAGGGGAGCAAACGGG